UACGUAGGGUGCAAGCGUUAAUCGGAAUUACUGGGCGUAAAGCGUGCGCAGGCGGUUUUGUAAGUCUGUCGUGAAAGCCCCGGGCUUAACCUGGGAAUUGCGAUGGAGACUGCAAGGCUUGAAUCUGGCAGAGGGGGGUAGAAUUCCACGUGUAGCAGUGAAAUGCGUAGAUAUCUAGAGGAACACCGGUGGCGAAGGCGGCAUCCUGGACCGGCAUUGACGCUGAGGAGCGAAAGCCAGGGGAGCAAACGGG
rnacentral:rRNA from 1 species